ensembl:lncRNA
GUACAUGAAGAGAGGUAGGAAGUCCUCUUCCUUUUUUUGGGUGGAACAGCUAGGCCCCUCCAGUUCUCAACUGCAUCCCCAUCAGCCGGAAAAAUGUUUGUGGUAGCAUCAGAUCCCACAAAUGGAACAAAUCCGCAUAUUUCCCUCGAUGAAGGAAAGAUGACGAGCAAUGAAGCGAUCGACUCGAAGAGGUCAGUCUGGAUCUCAUCCACUGAAUCCACUCUCUCACUUUCCUCCGUCUGUUCAUCUGGAAUGAUGAUGGAGUCUUGAGAAAUUUGGGCUUUCAAGUAUUUCUUGCACCUUUCUGAAGGAAGAGGUGCUCCAGAACUGUCAUCACCUUCUGCCUCACUGAGGGCCACAACAGUGAUAGCAUGCAAUCCCACUGGCAUAUCAUCUUGAUGCAGUGCGCAACAUCAACCCUGAUAUAACAAGGGGGGAGUUUGGCAGACUGGGUUCCAAGAAGGACAUGAAAGCAUUCAUUAAGAGUGGCCAAAUUUGGAAGGUGGCUUGGCUCAGGAUCUCCAACAUCCAUCAGAUCUGCUGCCCUCGCUGACCUCCAUACAGCCGGUUCCAUUCUGCCCUCACACAGCUCUUUAGCGAUCUGUUCACGCAGGUUUCCAGACAUGAACCGCUUGGAGUGGCCAGUGUGCAGGGAGAAAUCUGUAUUUCUCAUGAAACACUGGAGCACCAUUGGACUAUUAAUUGCUGGCUGUCUGUCACAUGACAUUUCUAACUGGCCAUGACACUCCUUACAGUCGCCUCUGAUGUCCAGAUAAUUAUUGUUGACAGUUGGAUGGACCUUUGCUCUACGGAACACAAGUGUACAUGUAUUUUUGAUCUUCUUCCAUAUAAGAUCGUUGAUGAUAUGAGUCCAAGUGCCAGGUUUCAAAAUUGUGUAUUCCCUUUUUAGGGUAGGAGAAAACUUGUCAUUGUAUUCAACCUUUUCAGGAAUAAAUUUAACCCAGUCCUCAAAAGGGACUUCUAGUUCAAAAGCUUGACAGUUUUCUUGUCCAGGAGAAAUGCAAUGUGAAUCUAACUCUCCUUCACUAUUACUUUCCUGAUCACUGAUUUCCAAAGCUGACCAGAUGUUGUGUCUAUUUAGCUUCACAAAAGUGUACAGGGCCUUUGCUGACAUCUUGUCUUCUAGCUGCUGACUCAGCUCUUUCCAGACUGAUGCAGCUGGAGUGGCUAUUUUGCCAUUUUGGACUAUGGCCUCUUUUGAAUUGCAAAGAACUGCAAAAAUGGAAACCUUGUCUACAGAUGGCUUUCGAGGCAUCUAAAAUAAAACACACUAUGAUUAUGAUGGAGCAAAAUGUGAUUUCUGAACUAUAUACACAGCCAGGAGCAACCCCUCCCCCAAGUUCUCCACCAAUCUACACUUUCAUAUUUUGUGGAAUUAUUGUUUUUAAGAUGGAGCUAUUGAAUUUGUGAGUUUAUUAAAUUGAGUCUGAGUAUUUAACCCAUGUACUGUACAGCACUUUAGUCCAGUGUGCUACAUGUUUUAAAGUGCUUUAGAAACUUUUUUCUUGGACAUUUUUGAAAAUGUUUAACAUUGAAAAAAAAUCCUUUUGAUCCAGAUAGUUAGCUAUAUCAUGUAUUAACUCAGUAACUAAAACCUCAGUAUUUUAAAUGUAAGCUUACCUUGUUCAGAAAUCAGAUGAACGCUGUUCUAAGAAUCCUUCAGACACAGUAAUGCCAAAUAAUAGUUUUUUCUGCCAGAAAAUGUGUAUUUGAUGCAAAAGACUGCUAGCUUGUUCGUUUCUCAAAAAGUGUUCAUGGGAGUGUAAAAUGUUCAAAUGUAGUUUUCAAUAAAGUUUUUUUAAUCCACUCUAAAAAAA